UUAUAGACAAAGGGGACUUUGCAGAUACGAUUAAAUUAAUAAUCUUGAGAUCUUAAGGAUCUUAUCCUGGAUUAUCUAGGUGGGUCUGAUGUAACACAAAGGUUCUUAGAAGAGGGGGACAGGAGAUCAGAAUGAAUAAUAGGAGAUGUGUUCAUAAAAGCAAGAGAUUGAAAUGAGAGAUCAGAAGAGGCUGGAAUUUCCCAUCAGCCAGGAAAAGCCCACAGCCUCUAGAAGUUAGAAGAAACAAGGAACAGAUUCUCUCCUGGAACUUUCAGAAAGAACAAACUCUGCCAAUCCCUUCAUCUUAGGCCUAGAAUUCUUUCCAGACUUCUGACCUUCAGAACUGAGUGGGGAUUCUUCCUCGCAGAAUGCCUGUAUCCAGUAAGGGAAAUGGUUGAAGACAAAAACUGAAGAAGCCACGGAAGACUGGUGAUUGCACUUAAGAAACAGCCUGAAACUACGUGAGGUCUGAAGGAAGAUGCUGACAGCACCCGGCAGGAGUUGAAGCUGCCCACUUGACUCUAUGCCUGGUUGCUGUCCCGGAAUGAUGCUGUUUAUCAUGACUUCAGAAGGUACAGAGAGUAACCUAAAUUAUCCUGUUAUUAAAGUAAUAGAUAAACCUAGAGGCUACUCCACAAUGAACAUUCCAUUAGCUCAAAAAACCCACUGUGCUCCAUAAAACUGAUCUUGUUGGCU